AGUGGAUGGGGAGCAACCUAGUUGUGCGUGUGUAAAGGUAGUGCCAAGAAAAGCGAAGAUCAUGUUGAAAAUCAAUUCCCGGUACCCGAAACCGACACAGGUGGGCAAGUAGAGAAUACUAAGGGGCGCGAGGUAACUCUCUCCAAGGAACUCGGCAAAAUGACCCCGUAACUUAGGGAGAAGGGGUGCCACCGAGAGGUGGUCGCAGUGAAGAGGCCCAGGCGACUGUUUAGCAAAAACAUAGGUCUCUGCAAACUCGAAAGAGGAGGUAUAGGGGCUGACGCCUGCCCAGUGCCGGAAGGUUAAAGAAGUUGGUCAGUUUUAGGAUGAAGCUAGCGACUGAAGCCCCGGUGAACGGCGGCCGUAACUAUAACGGUCCUAAGGUAGCGAAAUUCCUUGUCGGGUAAGUUCCGACCCGCACGAAAGGCGUAACGAUCUGGGCGCUGUCUCGGAGAGAGGCUCGGCGAAAUAGGAUUGUCUGUGAAGAUACGGACUACCUGCAUUUGGACAGAAAGACCCUAUGAAGCUUUACUAUAGCUUGGAAUUGUGUUCGGGCUUCCUGUGCGCAGGAUAGGUGGGAGGCGUAGAAGGUAUUCUUGUGGGGAUACUGGAGCCAACGGUGAGAUACCACUCUCAGGAGGCUAGAAUUCUAACUUAAUUAAGGACAGUUUCAGGUGGGUAGUUUGACUGGGGCGGUCGCCUCCAAAAAGGUAACGGAGGCGUACAAAGGUUCCCUCAGACUGGUUGGAAAUCAGUCGAAGAGUGCAAAGGCAGAAGGGAGCUUGACUGCGAGAAGUACAGUUCGAGCAGGGUGGAAACACGGUCUUAGUGAUCCGACGGUCUGUGUGGAAGGGCCGUCGCUCAACGGAUAAAAGUUACUCUAAGGAUAACAGGCUGAUCUCCCCCAAGAGUUCACAUCGACGGGGAGGUUUGGCACCUCGAUGUCGGCUCAUCGCAACCUGGGGCGGAAGUACGUCCCAAGGGUUGGGCUGUUCGCCCAUUAAAGCGGUACGUGAGCUGGGUUCAGAACGUCGUGAGACAGUUCGGCCCAUAUCCGAUGUAGGCGUGAGAAUAUUGAGAGGAGCCUUCCUUAGUACGAGAGGACCGGGAAGGACGCACCGCUGGUGUACCUGUUAUGAUGCCAAUUGUAAACGCAGGGUAGCCAAGUGCGGAGAGGAUAACCGCUGAAAGCAUCUAAGUGGGAAGCCCACCUCAAGAUGAGUAUUCUGGUGUAAGGUCACGGGAAGACGACCCGUAAAUAGGCACGAGGUGGAAGUGCAGAGAUGUAUGAAGCCGAAGUGUACUAAUAGACCGUCGGCUUGAC
rnacentral:rRNA from 1 species